AUUCACUUCACAGUCACACCGGUUUGCUUACAUCUCUAACACAGAACCAGGAAAUUACAUCAACUCUCCACUUCAAGAAAAAAGUGCCUGUCAGUUAUGUUACGUCUCUGUGUGUGCAUGCAGUGAAAUGGCUGAAGCCACGUUUUCUCAGGAUAAAUUCAGCUGUCCAGUGUGUCUGGAUCUAUUGAAGGAUCCAGUGACUAUUCCUGUGGACACAGUUACUGUAUGAGCUGCAUUACAGACUGCUGGGACCAAGAGGAUCAGAAGAGAGUCUACAGCUGUCCUCAGUGCAGACAGACCUUCAGUCCAAGACCUGCUUUAAACAAAACAAUGUACUGUUGUUUUGUCCUAUACAGAGACAAUUAGAUGAGACACGGAGAGAAUUCCAGCAGCAAAUCCAGGAGCGAGAGAAGAGGCUUCGGGAGCUGAAAGAGGCUGUGGAGACUCACAAGCGCUCUGCACAGACAGCAGUGGAGAAAAGUGAGAGGAUCUUUACUGAACUCAUCCGCUCCAUUGAGAAGAGACGCUCUGAGGUCACACAGAUGAUCAGAGAUCGAGAAAAGACUGUAGAGAGUCGAGCUGAAGGACUCAUGGAGCGGCUGGAGCAGGAGAUUGAUGUUCUGAGGAAGAGAAACGCGGAGCUGGAGCAGCUUUCAGACACACGUGAUCACAUCCAUUUCCUUCAGAGUUUUCCAUCUCUCUCUGACCCUCCUGGAUGUCCGGAUGUUCCCAGCAUAUCCGUUCCUAUGAUGAUGUUGGACAAUCAGUCUCUAAACUGAGACAAAAAAAUGGAGGAUUUUUGCAGAGAGGAGAUUGAAAAGAUAUCUGGUAAAGGUAAAACUUUGGGAGGUGGGGAGCUAAUGCUAUUUCAUGCAGUUAUUGACACUGUGCCAAAUAUACUCCUUCAGGAUUUAUUUACGUUUCUGAAAGUUUUUUUUUUU